rnacentral:ncRNA from 1 species
AGUCUUCAGGGCGAGGUGCAAUUCCUCACUGGCGGUAAUGCUUAGCCUCAAACAGGCAAAGCAAAGCCCGCGACCCUUGCUGAGCAAGGUUGAUCUGGUGAAAAUCCAGGGCCAACGGUUACAGUCCGGAUGGAAGAAGACG